AAAAAAAUGCAUAGAAACAAUGAGAUUAUUUAGAUCUUAUGGAAAAAACACAUCCUGCCUAUAUUGGACAUAGGAUUUUGUUCUGAUGCAUGCAGCAUCUCUGUAGAGGUUCUCUGCUCCUUUAUGCUCCUUUAUCCUCAGUCCAUGUGUUUUAAGUGGCAUUGAUCCCAUUUCUGGCUACAGGAGUGGGCAAGCGACACAGGCCUGGCAAAUCAGAGGAACCUAACCUCUAGAUUCAUGGAUCUGACAGUCUAGACCAGCCCAACUCACUAUAGAAAGGAGCUCUGUCGAUACCACAGCUGUCCCAGGCAUCCAUAUGGACACCAUGCUUCUGCGGAUCUAAGACUGCCUCCUCUGCAGUGAGCCAAGAUGGCGCCACUGCACUCUAGCCUGGGUGACAGAGCAAGACUCUGCCUCAAAAAAAAAGGAAGAAAAAAAGACUGCCUCCUCCAGACACCUACAAGCAAUCAUGCGGCAAGUUUGAGCAUCUACUUUUCCAUUCCCAUUGUCACCCAGGUAGCAAGGAUGGCACAGUCCCAGAAAUGGGAGAACUUACUGCUUCAGCCUACAUGGAGUCAUCAUCAUGGUCCCUGAGACUUGGUCCUAACAUGGCCGUCUUUUACCUAUGAUCAACAUACCAUGAGGGGGCCGGGCACGGUGGUUCAUACCUAUUAUCCCAGCACUGUGGGAGGAUGGGCUGAGCAGAACACUUGAGCCCAGGACUUCAAGACCAGACCGGACAACAUGACGAAACCCUGUCUCUACAAAAAAAAUCACAAAAAUUAGCCAGGUGUGGUGGUGCACACCUGUGGUUACAGCUACUUGGGAGGCUAAGGUGGGAGGAUUGUUUGAGCACAGGUGGUGGAGGCUACAGUGAG
rnacentral:lncRNA from 1 species